CACUAAUUAGCUAUUUUGACCAAGAUAAAUCACCUCUAACCUUUCUGGGCUUCAGCUUCCAAAUCUGAAAACAAGAAGAUUGAACUCUUGAAGGUCCCUUCUAUUUCGAAAAACCCAGGGUUCUAUUUCUGACCUACCUCUUUAAGUUUUAAGUAAUGACAACGGCAUCUGAAAGCCUCUUUUCCUAAACUUUUCCCAAGGCCAGAUGUUCCUGGCACUGACUUAGGAGAAAAAAAUAGUUUUUGAAUAACCUAACAUUUUUGUCUUUCAGAGCAAAUUAUCCUCUGGCCUUUUCAAUUCUUUUUCCCCUACUGCUCCCUCUGUAUGAAUCUUUAACAGAAGUUUUAAAAAAGUAAACUAUCUACUCUUCCUGAUUUGUCAGGGUUUAUCUUGUAACAGCAUUAUUUUUUUUUCCACUUUAGUAUUCCUAUAUAAAACCUCUCCCAACAUUGUUAGUCCAGUAACUGUGUGCCUCAGCCCCAAUUUGUCCCUGUUUUGCAGGAAGGUUAUUAAAUGCUCUGGGGACGAGGAACAAAAAGCUGAGAGACCGGGCUAGAGAAGGAAGCAAGCUGUCCAUACAGUGCAGACACUCUGGAGAACACCGUGGGCUAGAACGACAAGAGGAACCAAGAAGCUCCCAACUCAACCUCUCUUCAUUACUCUCCCCACCUCUAUCAACACGUUAACGCAGCCACGGAAGAAAUCUAGUAGGUUUUCAAAAACAUCCAGAAAAAGACUCAGCACCCUCUCUGGCCAACCUGUUCUAGUGCUUGAUAACAAUCCAAGAAUGCAGUAACUUCCUCCCUCUAACUCAGAUUCGAGACACUCUCCUUUUUCGUACAGGUCUGAAAGUAUCAGGCCCUUGCGGAAGAGACUUUUAUUGACCUGACGCUCUUCAUUAAACUGUCCCACACCGGCCAGAGGAUGAAUAACCUUGGACCAUUGAGCUGUUUCUAGGCUCUAAUUUCCAGUGCUUUAACUGUCCCUCUGGCUCGGCUCUAGACUCUUCAAGUCCUCCUUCGUACAAGUAGCAUGGCUUGUGAAGACACACAGCUCUAGUGAUGGUCCCCAGCGCAUGGCUUCUUCGGGCACCGCGCGGUGGGAGCCUGAGGCCAUGCGCGCGCAGGCAGGGGACUUCCUCACCUCACAUUCAGGCUGUCCCCGACCCCCUCUUCUCUACCCUUGCUUAAAGUUAAUAGAAGAAAGAAAGGAAGAAAAAAAAGGGAAGGAAGAAAAGAAGAGGGCAGAAAAAAUACAAAAGGGAACUAAGAUGUAUAAAAAUAUGAGAAAUGCAUUGUAACAGGAAAUACAAGCCAAAAGAUUCAUUUUACCAGAUGAAAAGUACAUAAAAACAACAUUUUUGCAUUCAGA